CAUUCGAUCCGAGUAUUUAUCGAGCCUUAAUCAAAUCGAUCUGGAGUAGCACGAGAUUUGGUUUUGUUCGCUUUACUAAUAGAACAGAUGUUUUCAGAGCAAUGGAGAGGUUGAAUGGAUUCAGGUUUUAUAACUUUCGGUUAUCGGUGACAUUAGCAAAGUACAAUGUUAUAGAAGUGGAGAAAGUCCGUCCAGUUUGAUAGGCAGAAGCUGAAGAGAACCGAGUCGGAUGAAGGCUAUACGUUAGCAGAUAUCAUAAAGGAAAUAUUCCAGGGCCUACUGGAAACUUGAAGGUUAAUAAGAGUAAGUCUGGUGUUAAUAGUCAUAGAGAUCUAAGUGCGCUUCAAGAGGCGAAAAGAAGUAGGAUUAUCGGGUAUGUUGAGGAGGAGGAGCUAUUGAAGAUGAAGAGCUGUCAGAUUGGCGAGAAGUCUGUAGUGUGUAAUAAUCGGAGUAUAAGGGAUAGGUUGCAUAAAUGGGGUCUUGGGGAGGUUAAAAUUUAUCGUAUGGGAAGAAAAACAUUCUUGAUAGUCAUUGACGAUGAAGAUCUUUUCCUGAUGCUAAAAAAGCUUGACUGGUCGUAUCUUAAAGAAAUUUUGCAGAGGUGAGGAUGUGGUCCGAAGUGCUGUAUCAAGCUCCAAGGGCUACCUAGAUCGACAUUUUUGGUUUCCCUCUUCACUGCUGGAACCAAACUACGUGUAAAAGAAUAGCUGAACUUUGGGGUUUCUUCGAAGCCCUAGGGGAAAAUGGGUUUCACACGAUAGAUUGUGAAAAGGUUUCGGUGCUAAUUACUACUGCUUUUGAGAGAAGAAUUGAAGAAUUGGUUGAUAUGAAGAUUGAUCACAUCAUUCAUUCGGUUCGAGUUUUGGAAAAAGGAUUCUCAGAUGGUACAAAUGAUAUCUGAAAGGGAGUCGAAUUAGUGUCAAAGUCUGCAAAGAGUGAUAUCAACGGUGAGGAGAGUCCACUGAAUUCUUCGUCAGAGGAGGCUGAGGAUGAUCAGAGUCCGUCCGGUAUGGAUAGAGAAUUAGUUGAGGGAGACAAAGAUGCUUCGAUUUUCAAAAAAGGGUCUAGAAAAUUUUGUCAGCCCAGCUGGUGGCUCUUUGGACAAUUAGAGUUUAAGCACAAUGAGUGUUGAAUUGGAGCAAGUGAAAGGUGAUGUGGGUGGUUCCAGAAAUAUGGAACGUCUAAUUGAAAACAAUUUUUUGACUGUAAGCUGAUGGAGAAUAGGGUGGACCUAAGAAUGAGGUAAAUUCUGAAGAAAAUCUGCCUUUGGGUUUAGAAGGAGAGAGCCCAAUAUGGUCUCGGGCUCAAGAGGAUAUUGAUUAUAUGGGUUUAGGAGAUGCUAAUUUUCCCCCUUCCUUAAGCCUCUGCCAGGGAGUCUAGAGGCAAGGGAGAACGAGAACGUUAUCGGGGGUGUCUCCUUUGAAUCAUUUCUUUCAGAAUUAAUUACGGUGGAAAAAAAAAAAAAAGAAAUCCAGGAAGUAUGAGUCCUUACUAGAGAUUCAGGGUAAAGCUCUGUCGGAUACGAAUCGAAGGAAAAGGGACCGAGUGAUCAAAAAACAUAAUCUGGAGAUAAAGUAUUUGGAGUCAUCGGUGUAAUCAGGCAGGUCGCUUUCCGAUUCAGAUCUUAAGGUAAGGUGGUUGGCAGGACAAAAGAGGCUGAGAGGACUCUGUCUUUGGGGAAAAAAAUAGCGAUCCAAAUUAUUGGUGAUGAGUCAGAGGCAGUGAAGGAGCUGGCCUUAUUAGAGUUUGAUUGUGCUUGAUCUCAAAUUCUCGUGUUUUCGAUGGGAGGUAUGUGUUUCGUAUCUUGAAGACUCUCAAAGAGGUUAUGUUGUUGCUGUUGGUGUCGUUGAAAGAAGCUUUGGUUGUUAUUGAUUUUGGUUUUCUGGGUUGUCGUGGCUUUUGUUUGCUGGGCGAUUCAAGCAUUCGGGAGGGAUGCUGUUUUAAAUCAGGUGGAAGCUAGUUUUUCGGUUCCAUUUUUCGAUUCUGUUUGGUGGCCUCCUUGUUCUGGGGUUUUAAGGGAGUUCAGGUGAUAUGUGUCGGGGGCCUUGCGAAAAUGAGAAGAAGAGGUGGUAUUCAUGGUUGUUUUGAUCGUUUGUUUGGCAAAUUUUCUAGGGAAGAAGCUAAUCGUAUAAUUUGCAUGGGAAGAUUCCAUGGAGGUUUAUUUGCAAAGACAGAUGUAAUGUUAUGAAUCUCCAUUUCUGUUUGUUUGCUUCAGGGGAGUGAAGUGUUGCAAUCUCUUGAAGAAGGCUGGUUAAUGUAUGCUCUUUGAUGGUGGGAUCUAA